rnacentral:misc_RNA from 1 species
GGAGGGAUCAUUAAAACGUAUCCACGUAUAAACCUUUGUGAAUCUGUUUAUCUAACCCGAAUCUCAGUGAUGGCGCGCCAGACCGUAGAAGCAAUCAGGAGUAGCUUUUUUACGGUUAGCUAUCAUCUGUGGGUCUCCUAUUUUUAACUUUUUUAAACCUUAUGUACCUUUUAUUGUACUAACGAGUUUAACGCUAACGCGUUUCACUUGAAAUUUAAAAAAUUAACGCACAACUCUUAGCAACGGAUAUCUAGGCUCUCGUAUCGAUGAAGAACGCAGCGAAAUGCGAUACGUAAUGCGAAUUGCAGAAUUCAGUGAAUCAUCAAAUCUUUGAACGCAACUUGCGCUUUUGGGUAUCCCUGAAAGCAUACCUCUCUGAGUAUCGUUUCACCACCAACUCGACUGCGUACUUUUCGAAGUAUUCGUGUGUCGGAAAAUGAGUCGUCUCAGUGUGUCAUGCAUUGAGUCACUUGAAACGCAUCCCACUCCGUAAUCAGAUACGAUUCGAGUACACCCUAAAAAAGUGUUGCUUGACUAUUUGAUGUUCGAUAAUUGACCUUUGGUCAUUACACUAUCACAUCGAGUAGUAGUAACUGUGUUACGAGUGAGUAAAACAAGGAACCCUAAAGAGUUUGAUUACUCUUUUUGAUCUUGAUCUCAGAUGAAGUAAGAGAACCCGCCGAAUUUAAGCAUAUUAUUAAGCGGAGGAAAAGAAACUAACAAGGAUUCCCCUAGUAACGGCGAGUGAAGCGGGAAGAGCUCAAAGUUAAAAUCGGGGUACCUAGCGGUACUUCCGACUUGUAAUCUAGAGACACUUUUUCAGCUUCGACCCGGGUAUAAAUCUUUUGAAACAAGGUGUCAUAGAGGGUGAGAAUCCCGUCUUUGACCCGGAGUUCGGGGCGUACGAAAGGUGUUCCAAGAGUCGAAUAGCUUGGGAAUGCUGUUCUAAAUGGGUGGUAAAUUUCAUCUAAAGCUAAAUAUCGACGAGAGACCGAUAGCGAACAAGUACCGUGAGGGAAAGAUGAAAAGAACUUUGAAAAGAGAGUUAAAAAGUACUUGAAAUUGUUAAGAAGGAAGCACUGGAAACCAGUUAUACUUUUUAUACAUAGACACUGCGUUGGUGAGAGGGCAAUUCGGUAUCUCAUAGAGCCGACCAAACCUCAAAGCUAGCGCAGUGUUCUCGUAUGAGGAGGAAGUCAGGAUCAGGUAGCUUCGCCGAAGAAAGCCCGUGGAAGGUAGUCAAUUGGUAGCGAUAUCAGUUGAAACUUAUAGCCGCGGGUCAAACGGUGGAGCUGCCUGAGGAAUCACGACAAUGCGCUCCGCAAGGCUGCUGGUGGGGGCUCCUUUCUGGCCGUGAUUUUGAAGGACAAAGUCCUGUAGAGGUCACGGUUGGUUACUGGGUUUUCACUUGACCGCGCAUUCGCGAUCUUGACGAAAUGGUUUUCAUUGACCCGUCUUGAAACACGGACCAAGGAGUCUAACAUAUAUGCGAGUAUUUGGGUCUAAAAACCCUGAUGCGCAAUGAAAGUGAAGCCAGUCUUGUACUGGUGAGGUAGGAACCGCAAGGGGCACUAUCGACCGAUCGUUCAUUCAUGAAAGAUUUGAGUAAGAGCAUAUCUGUUGGGACCCGAAAGAUGGUGAACUAUGCCUGAUCAGGGUGAAGCCAGGGGAAACUCUGGUGGAGGCUCGUAGCGAUACUGACGUGCAAAUCGUUCGUCUGAAUUGGGUAUAGGGGCGAAAGACUAAUCGAACCAUCUAGUAGCUGGUUCCCGC